AGGUUACAAUGCUUUGCAUCUUGCUUCAAAAAAUAGUCACCAAGAAUGUGUGAGAAAGAUUCUUCAGUACAAGUGUCCUGUAGAAUGUGUUGACAGCAAUGGGAAGACAGCCUUGCACCAUGCAGCUGGAAGUGGUUGUAUCUCCAUUGUUCAACUGCUGUGUGAACAUAAGUGCCCUAUUAAUGUCAAGGACACAGAAGGUUUUACACCAUUGAUCCAGGCUGCACAGAACAACCAUGCUGAGGUGUGUCAUUACCUGAUCGACCAAGGGGCAGAAAUCGAUGCAAGAGACAAGAACGGCAGG